rfam:Nematostella vectensis strain CH2 x CH6 NEMVEscaffold_18_Cont3434, whole genome shotgun sequence.
GGCCUGAUGGUCUAGAGGCAUGAUUCUCGCUUAGGGUGCGAGAGGUCCCGGGUUCAAUUCCCGGUCGGGCCC